AACCUUUUCUUUUUCAAGAUUGUUUUGAAAAAUUGGCCCAUGUGGUUAAAUUGAGACACAGGUCAUGUUACCAUCACAGUAAAUGUAACAGUAGUGACAAUGAGACCAGUAACAUUU
ensembl:snoRNA